AUGCCGUGUCUGUUUUGCUUAUAUAUAGUUUUGUGUUAAUGCAGAAUUUCAAUAUAUUUGCUUCCUGAAGAGAACACAGUCUUGUUUUAUUCCACAGUAUCUGAUGGUUUUAAGCCACAACAUACCAAAGUUCAAGCAGCCGAAUUUGGACAGUUGGAUGGUCCAUGCGACGGCUGCAGAGAAAAGGUUCAGACUCAGGCGUGCUCCCUUUGGAAAAGGACCCGGACUCUCCAUCCACAGUUACUGUUUCCAGCUCACUGAACCAGAGGAAAAAGCUGCCAUCCCAUGUCCUCUGCUACAGGAUUUUCUGUCAAGUGAAAGAUCCUGGAUACAUCCCAAGUCAGGUAAAGUCCGAUCUUUAAGGCCCUGAAAGAACACAGACAACUAUCAACUGUACUGCAAG
rnacentral:lncRNA from 1 species